rnacentral:rRNA from 1 species
AACGAACGCUGGCGGCAUGCCUAACACAUGCAAGUCGAACGAGACCUUCGGGUCUAGUGGCGCACGGGUGCGUAACGCGUGGGAACCUGCCCUUAGGUUCGGAAUAACUCCCCGAAAGGGGUGCUAAUACCGGCUAAUGUCUUCCGACCAAAGAUUUAUCGCCUUUGGGUGGGCCCGCGUUGGCUUAGCUAAUUGGUAGGGUAACAGCCUACAAAGGCGCCGCUCCAUAGCUGGUCUGAGAGGAUGAUCAGCCACACUGGGACAGGGACACGGCCCAGACUCUGGCGGAAGGCAGCAGUGGUGAAUCUUCGACGCCGGGCGAGUGCAGGAUCCAGCAAGGCCGUAUGAGUGAUGAAGGCGUUAGGGUUGUAAAGCUCUUUUACCCGGGAUGAUAAUGCCGGUACCGGGAGAAUAAGCUCCGGCAACUUCCGU